rnacentral:rRNA from 1 species
GACGAACGCUGGCGGCGUGCUUAACACAUGCAAGUCGAACGGAAAGGCCCUGCUUUUGUGGGGUGCUCGAGUGGCGAACGGGUGAGUAACACGUGAGUAACCUGCCCUUGACUUUGGGGUAACUUCAGGAAACUGGGGCUAAUACCGGAUAGGAGCUCCUGCUGCAUGGUGGGGGUUGGAAAGUUUCGGCGGUUGGGGAUGGACUCGCGGCUUACCAGCUUGUUGGUGGGGUAGUGGCUUACCAAGGCUUUGACGGGUAGCCGGCCUGAGAGGGUGACCGGCCACAUUGGGACUGAGAUACGGCCCAGACUCCUACGGGAGGCAGCAGUGGGGAAUAUUGCACAAUGGGCGGAAGCCUGAUGCAGCAACGCCGCGUGCGGGAUGACGGCCUUCGGGUUGUAAACCGCUUUGGCCUGUGACGAAGCGUGAGUGACGGUAAUGGGUAAAGAAGCACCGGCUAACUACGUG